rnacentral:rRNA from 1 species
AGCAUGGUCUUAGCUUGCUAAGGCCGAUGGCGACCGGCGCACGGGUGAGUAACACGUAUCCAACCUGCCGUCUACUCUUGGACAGCCUUCUGAAAGGAAGAUUAAUACAAGAUGGCAUCAUGAGUCCACAUGUUCACAUGAUUAAAGGUAUUCCGGUAGACGAUGGGGAUGCGUUCCAUUAGAUAGUAGGCGGGGUAACGGCCCACCUAGUCUUCGAUGGAUAGGGGUUCUGAGAGGAAGGUCCCCCACAUUGGAACUGAGACACGGUCCAAACUCCUACGGGAGGCAGCAGUGAGGAAUAUUGGUCAAUGGGCGAGAGCCUGAACCAGCCAAGUAGCGUGAAGGAUGACUGCCCUAUGGGUUGUAAACUUCUUUUAUAAAGGAAUAAAGUCGGGUAUGGAUACCCGUUUGCAUGUACUUUAUGAAUAAGGAUCGGCUAACUCCGUGCCAGCAGCCGCGGUAAUACGGAGGAUCCGAGCGUUAUCCGGAUUUAUUGGGUUUAAAGGGAGCGUAGAUGGAUGUUUAAGUCAGUUGUGAAAGUUUGCGGCUCAACCGUAAAAUUGCAGUUGAUACUGGAUAUCUUGAGUGCAGUUGAGGCGGGCGGAAUUCGUGGUGUAGCGGUGAAAUGCUUAGAUAUCACGAAGAACUCCGAUUGCGAAGGCAGCCUGCUAAGCUGCAACUGACAUU